rnacentral:rRNA from 1 species
GCAAGCGAAUUAAGGGCGCAUGGGGGAUACCUAGGCUCUCAGAGGCGAUGAAGGACGUGAUAAGCUGCGAAAAGCUACGGGGAGCAGCACAUAUGCAUUGAUCCGUAGAUAUCCGAAUGGGGCAACCCAGUGUAGUGAAGCUACAUUACCCUACGGGGGGCAAACGCGGGGAACUGAAACAUCUAAGUACCCGCAGGAGAAGAAAAUAACAAUGAUUCCGCAAGUAGUGGCGAGCGAACGCGGAAGAGCCCAAACCAGCCUGGUUACGGCCAGACUGGGGUUGUAGGACCCACCAAGUGGAUAAAUAGCGAACUGGAAUGGUCUGGGAAGGCCAGUCGUAGAGGGUGAGAACCCCGUACAGGCAGUGAUUUUAUCUGAGUGGGUAUCCUGAGUAAGUGGGGACCGGUGGAAUCCCCUCUGAAUCCGGCGGCACCAUCCGCCAAGGCUAAAUACUCCUGAGAGACCGAUAGUGAACGAGUACCGUGAGGGAAAGGUGAAAAGUACCGCGAGCAGCGGGGUGAAAUAGAACUUGAAACCAUGCGCUUACAAGCGGUCGGAGCCUACGGGUGACGGCGUGCCUUUUGCAUAAUGAGCCUACGAGUUACGGUUACUGGCAAGGUUAAUGUGUUUGAACACAGGAGCCGAAGCGAAAGCGAGUCUGAAAUGGGCGAUUAGUCAGUGGCUGUAGACGCGAAACUUUGUGAUCUACCCAUGACCAGGUUGAAGCGCUGGUAACACAUCGUGGAGGACCGAACCGGUAAACGUUGAAAAGUUUUCGGAUGAGUUGUGGGUAGGGGUGAAAGGCCAAUCAAACUGAGAAAUAGCUCGUACUCCCCGAAAUGUUUUUAGGAACAGCGUCGUGGUCGAGUCAUGUUCAGGUAGAGCUACUGAUAGGGCUAGGGGGAGUCAAAUCCUACCAAACUCUGACAAACUCCGAAUGGGGCAUGAUAUACACGGCAGUGAGGGCUGGGGUGCUAAGGUCCCAGUCCGAGAGGGGAACAACCCAGAGCAUCAGCUAAGGUCCCAAAAUAUAUGCUAAGUUGAACUAAGGGGGUCCGACUGCAGAGACAGCCAGGAUGUUAGCUUGGAAGCAGCUAUACAUUUAAAGAGUGCGUAACAGCUCACUGGUCGAGCGGGGCGGGCAUCGAUAAUAAACGGGCAUCAAGCAUAUUACCGAAGCUAUGCGAUUGUAUUUAUACAUAUCGGUAGGGGAGCAUUCUCACAGGGGUGAAGGUGUGGCGUGAGCUGCGCUGGACUGGUGAGAAAAGCAAAUGUAGGCAUAAGUAACGAUAAUGCGGAUGAGAAAUCCGCACACCGAAAGACUAAGGAUUCCUCCGCUAUGCUAAUCAACGGAGGGUUAGGCGGGGCCUAAGGAGUAGCCGACAGGCGACCUCCGAUGGACAGCAGGUUAAUAUUCCUGCCCCUGCAUGCAGUGUGAAGAAGUGACGGAGUAUCGUGGAUGGUACGUACUGACGGAAUAGUGCGUUGAGCCGAGCCUACGGGCAAAGCGAAUCAUCGAAGACGCUUCCAAGAAAAGCUUUUGAAACACCAGCUGUAUGCAGCCCGUACCGUAAACCGACACAGGUAGUCGAGAAGAAUAUUCUAAGGUGCUCGAGUGAAUCACGGCUAAGGAACUCGGCAAAUUAACCCUGUAACUUCGGGAGAAGGGGAGCCUCCUCUGCAAAGAGAGGCCGCAGAGAAAUGGCCCAGGCGACUGUUUAGCAAAAACACAGGGCUCUGCCAAAACGAAAGUUGACGUAUAGGGCCUGACACCUGCCCGGUGCUGGAAGGUUAAGAGGGGAUGUCAUCGCAAGAGAAGCAUUGAAUCGAAGCCCCAGUAAACGGCGGCCGUAACUAUAACGGUCCUAAGGUAGCGAAAUUCCUUGUCGGGUAAGUUCCGACCUGCACGAAUGGUGUAACGAUCUGGGCACUGUCUCGGCCGUGAGCUCGGUGAAAUUGUAGUAGCGGUGAAGAUGCCGCUUACCCGCCACGGGACGGAAAGACCCCGUGCACCUUUACUAUAGCUUUGCAUUGUUUUCGGGUCAGGGAUGUGUAGGAUAGGUGGGAGGCUGUGAGCCGGUGUCGCCAGGCAUCGGGGAGCCAACGUUGAAAUACCACCCUUCGCUGGCCUGGGAUCUAACUGCUCUAAGAGCAGGACCGUGCAUGGUGGGUAGUUUGACUGGGGUGGUCGCCUCCAAAAGUGUAACGGAGGCUUCCAAAGGUCUGCUCAACACGCUUGGUAACCGUGUGUGGAGUGCAAUAGUACAAGCAGGCUUGACUGUGAGACCGACGGGUCGAGCAGGUGGGAAACCAGGGUAUAGUGAUCCGGUGGUUCUGUAUGGAAGGGCCAUCGCUCAAAGGAUAAAAGGUACGCCGGGGAUAACAGGCUGAUCUCCCCCAAGAGCUCACAUCGACGGGGAGGUUUGGCACCUCGAUGUCGGCUCGUCACAUCCUGGGGCUGGAGAAGGUCCCAAGGGUUCGGCUGUUCGCCGAUUAAAGUGGCACGCGAGCUGGGUUCAGAACGUCGUGAGACAGUUCGGUCCCUAUCUGUGGUGGGCGUAGGAAGAUUGACGGGGGCUGCCUUUAGUACGAGAGGACCGAGGUGGACCCACCGCUGGUGAACCGGUUGUCCCGCCAGGGGCAUGGCCGGGUAGCUAUGUGGGGAAUAGAUAAGCGCUGAAAGCAUCUAAGUGCGAAACUAGCCCGAAGAUGAAUCUUCCACAUAAGGGUCGUUGUAGACUACGACGUUGAUAGGCUGCAGGUAUACGUGUAGAAAUACAUUCAGCCGAGCAGUACUAAUUACCCAACAGCUUGCACAUUUAACCUU